rnacentral:rRNA from 1 species
CAAUAGCGUAUAUUAAAGUUGUUGCAGUUAAAAAGCUCGUAGUUGGAUUUCUGGUUGAAGCGACCGGUCGGGCGUUGAUUCGUCUGCACUGGAGUCGGUUUUGGCCAUCCUCUAGGAAAGUGCGUCUGGUAUUAAGUUAUCGGGCGUAUGAUCCUGGUCUUUUACUGUGAAAAAAUUAGAGUGUUUAAAGCAGGCCUUCGCCUUGAAUACAUUAGCAUGGAAUAAUAAGAUAGGACUUUGGUCUAUUUUGUUGGUUUGCAGACCGAAGUAAUGAUUAAUAGGGAUAGUUGGGGGUAUUUAUAUUCCGAUGUCAGAGGUGAAAUUCUUAGAUUUUCGGAAGAUAAACUUAUGCGAAAGCAUUUACCAAGGAUAUUUUCAUUAA